AAAAAGAAUUGUGUUGUAUUUUAUGGUGUUUAUUUUCGGGUGAGUGUAGAUACAAUUUCCAGCUAAAAAGCACCUCUACUGCAGUGUAUUUUAAUGUUGUGUAGCGCUAGCUCUCGUCAUUGUCAGUUGAAAUUGACAUCAUCUCCCCUAUCUGCACGUGGACCACGCUUUGCAGUGGUAGUCUCUUUAUGGCAGAUAUCGUCCCUGCGCUUUCCUCCAGACUGUCGCAUGCUUUGCACGGGUAAUCUGCCGUGUCGUACAUCUCCGAGAAAGUUAUGACACAUUCCAGACAUCACAAAGUCGGCGAGCGAGUGAGUGGAUUUGUAGGAUUUUGACGGCUGCCUCUAACCACGAAACGGUGAUAUUUUGAACAUGUACCUUAGAAUAAAAAAAUGAUCAGCAAACCAUAUACAUAUACAUAUACACUGACAAUUUUCAUAGCCCUCAGUAGAAAAGCAAUCCAGAUUAGCCACUGUAGUGAGGAAAAUAGAAUAUUAUUUGUCCCUCCGUUGUCUUUGAAGCUAUGUUGCUGCAACUGGUACACACAACGUGCACUGGCGGCAUAAAUGCAUAUCCCAAUUUUGGUCGAAAUCGGAUGGGUGGUUUCCGAGUUACGGGUGUUGAAAAGCUGGAAAACAUCAGCUGUGAGGACUGGAAAACUUGACCCCUGGUCGGCUGGGGGUGAUGUACCUUUUAAGAAGUUCCGGAGAAGAGAUAGUUCGCUCUUUGACAGGCCGUAGCUCCGUUGUCCUGGGGUCUACGUUCAAAACAAUUAGUGUUCUGGAAUCGUCAGAACUUCAGCUAUCAGACGCACCGUUUCAAGUGUCCAAACGGUGCAUUUUAGCGACUUGUGCCGUCCAGGCGAAAUGGUAGGCAUU